AUUGAACGCUGGCGGCAGGCCUAACACAUGCAAGUCGAACGAGCGGCGGACGGGUGAGUAAUGUCUGGGAAACUGCCUGAUGGCGGGGGAUAACUACUGGAAACGGUAGCUAAUACCGCAUACCAUCAGAGGGGCCCAGAUGGGAUUAGCUUGUUGGUGGGGUAACGGCGCACCAAGGCGACGAUCCCUAGCUGGUCUGAGAGGAUGACCAGCCAAACUGGAACGGAGACCAGGUCCAGACUCCUACGGGAGGCAGCAGUGGGGAAUAUUGCACAAUGGGCGAAAGCCUGAUGCAGCCAUGCCGCGUGUAUGAAGAAGGCCUUCGGGUUGUAAAGUACUUUCAGCGGGGAGGCGUUACCCGCAGAAGAAGCACCGGCUAACUCCGUGCCAGCCGCCGCGGUAAUAC
rnacentral:rRNA from 1 species